GGGUUGUGAGGUUAAGCGACUAAGCGUACACGGUGGAUGCCCUGGCAGUCAGAGGCGAUGAAGGACGUGCUAAUCUGCGAUAAGCGUCGGUAAGGUGAUAUGAACCGUUAUAACCGGCGAUUUCCGAAUGGGGAAACCCAGUGUGUUUCGACACACUAUCAUUAACUGAAUCCAUAGGUUAAUGAGGCGAACCGGGGGAACUGAAACAUCUAAGUACCCCGAGGAAAAGAAAUCAACCGAGAUUCCCCCAGUAGCGGCGAGCGAACGGGGAGCAGCCCAGAGCCUGAAUCAGUGUGUGUGUUAGUGGAAGCGUCUGGAAAGGCGUGCGAUACAGGGUGACAGCCCCGUACACAAAAAUGCACAUGCUGUGAGCUCGAUGAGUAGGGCGGGACACGUGGUAUCCUGUCUGAAUAUGGGGGGACCAUCCUCCAAGGCUAAAUACUCCUGACUGACCGAUAGUGAACCAGUACCGUGAGGGAAAGGCGAAAAGAACCCCGGCGAGGGGAGUGAAAAAGAACCUGAAACCGUGUACGUACAAGCAGUGGGAGCACGCUUAGGCGUGUGACUGCGUACCUUUUGUAUAAUGGGUCAGCGACUUAUAUUCUGUAGCAAGGUUAACCGAAUAGGGGAGCCGAAGGGAAACCGAGUCUUAACUGGGCGUUAAGUUGCAGGGUAUAGACCCGAAACCCGGUGAUCUAGCCAUGGGCAGGUUGAAGGUUGGGUAACACUAACUGGAGGACCGAACCGACUAAUGUUGAAAAAUUAGCGGAUGACUUGUGGCUGGGGGUGAAAGGCCAAUCAAACCGGGAGAUAGCUGGUUCUCCCCGAAAGCUAUUUAGGUAGCGCCUCGUGAAUUCAUCUCCGGGGGUAGAGCACUGUUUCGGCAAGGGGGUCAUCCCGACUUACCAACCCGAUGCAAACUGCGAAUACCGGAGAAUGUUAUCACGGGAGACACACGGCGGGUGCUAACGUCCGUCGUGAAGAGGGAAACAACCCAGACCGCCAGCUAAGGUCCCAAAGUCAUGGUUAAGUGGGAAACGAUGUGGGAAGGCCCAGACAGCCAGGAUGUUGGCUUAGAAGCAGCCAUCAUUUAAAGAAAGCGUAAUAGCUCACUGGUCGAGUCGGCCUGCGCGGAAGAUGUAACGGGGCUAAACCAUGCACCGAAGCUGCGGCAGCGACACUAUGUGUUGUUGGGUAGGGGAGCGUUCUGUAAGCCUGUGAAGGUGUGCUGUGAGGUAUGCUGGAGGUAUCAGAAGUGCGAAUGCUGACAUAAGUAACGAUAAAGCGGGUGAAAAGCCCGCUCGCCGGAAGACCAAGGGUUCCUGUCCAACGUUAAUCGGGGCAGGGUGAGUCGACCCCUAAGGCGAGGCCGAAAGGCGUAGUCGAUGGGAAACAGGUUAAUAUUCCUGUACUUGGUGUUACUGCGAAGGGGGGACGGAGAAGGCUAUGUUGGCCGGGCGACGGUUGUCCCGGUUUAAGCGUGUAGGCUGGUUUUCCAGGCAAAUCCGGAAAAUCAAGGCUGAGGCGUGAUGACGAGGCACUACGGUGCUGAAGCAACAAAUGCCCUGCUUCCAGGAAAAGCCUCUAAGCAUCAGGUAACAUCAAAUCGUACCCCAAACCGACACAGGUGGUCAGGUAGAGAAUACCAAGGCGCUUGAGAGAACUCGGGUGAAGGAACUAGGCAAAAUGGUGCCGUAACUUCGGGAGAAGGCACGCUGAUAUGUAGGUGAAGUCCCUCGCGGAUGGAGCUGAAAUCAGUCGAAGAUACCAGCUGGCUGCAACUGUUUAUUAAAAACACAGCACUGUGCAAACACGAAAGUGGACGUAUACGGUGUGACGCCUGCCCGGUGCCGGAAGGUUAAUUGAUGGGGUUAGCGCAAGCGAAGCUCUUGAUCGAAGCCCCGGUAAACGGCGGCCGUAACUAUAACGGUCCUAAGGUAGCGAAAUUCCUUGUCGGGUAAGUUCCGACCUGCACGAAUGGCGUAAUGAUGGCCAGGCUGUCUCCACCCGAGACUCAGUGAAAUUGAACUCGCUGUGAAGAUGCAGUGUACCCGCGGCAAGACGGAAAGACCCCGUGAACCUUUACUAUAGCUUGACACUGAACAUUGAGCCUUGAUGUGUAGGAUAGGUGGGAGGCUUAGAAGUGUGGACGCCAGUCUGCAUGGAGCCGACCUUGAAAUACCACCCUUUAAUGUUUGAUGUUCUAACGUUGACCCGUAAUCCGGGUUGCGGACAGUGUCUGGUGGGUAGUUUGACUGGGGCGGUCUCCUCCUAAAGAGUAACGGAGGAGCACGAAGGUUGGCUAAUCCUGGUCGGACAUCAGGAGGUUAGUGCAAUGGCAUAAGCCAGCUUGACUGCGAGCGUGACGGCGCGAGCAGGUGCGAAAGCAGGUCAUAGUGAUCCGGUGGUUCUGAAUGGAAGGGCCAUCGCUCAACGGAUAAAAGGUACUCCGGGGAUAACAGGCUGAUACCGCCCAAGAGUUCAUAUCGACGGCGGUGUUUGGCACCUCGAUGUCGGCUCAUCACAUCCUGGGGCUGAAGUAGGUCCCAAGGGUAUGGCUGUUCGCCAUUUAAAGUGGUACGCGAGCUGGGUUUAGAACGUCGUGAGACAGUUCGGUCCCUAUCUGCCGUGGGCGCUGGAGAACUGAGGGGGGCUGCUCCUAGUACGAGAGGACCGGAGUGGACGCAUCACUGGUGUUCGGGUUGUCAUGCCAAUGGCACUGCCCGGUAGCUAAAUGCGGAAGAGAUAAGUGCUGAAAGCAUCUAAGCACGAAACUUGCCCCGAGAUGAGUUCUCCCUGACUCCUUGAGAGUCCUGAAGGAACGUUGAAGACGACGACGUUGAUAGGCCGGGUGUGUAAGCGCAGCGAUGCGUUGAGCUAACCGGUACUAAUGAACCGUGAGGCUUAACCUUACAACGCCGAAGGUGUUU
rnacentral:rRNA from 1 species